rnacentral:tRNA from 1 species
GCGUCUGUAGCCUAGUUGGUAAAGGCAGCACUCUAGUAUGGCUGAGGUCGUGAGUUUGGCUCUCACCAGACACA